AGUGAACGCUGGCGGUAGGCCUAACACAUGCAAGUCGAACGGCAGCACAGUAAGAGCUUGCUCUUACGGGUGGCGAGUGGCGGACGGGUGAGGAAUACAUCGGAAUCUACUUUUUCGUGGGGGAUAACGUAGGGAAACUUACGCUAAUACCGCAUACGACCUACGGGUGAAAGUAGGGGAUCUUCGGACCUUGCGCGAUUGAAUGAGCCGAUGUCGGAUUAGCUAGUUGGCGGGGUAAAGGCCCACCAAGGCGACGAUCCGUAGCUGGUCUGAGAGGAUGAUCAGCCACACUGGAACUGAGACACGGUCCAGACUCCUACGGGAGGCAGCAGUGGGGAAUAUUGGACAAUGGGCGCAAGCCUGAUCCAGCGAUACCGCGUGGGUGAAGAAGGCCUUCGGGUUGUAAAGCCCUUUUGUUGGGAAAGAAAAGCAGCAGGUUAAUACCCCGCUGUUCUGACGGUACCCAAAGAAUAAGCACCGGCUAACUUCGUG
rnacentral:rRNA from 1 species